UGAAAAUAUUACGAUUUCAAAUAUUAAUUAAGAUAUUAACAUUACGUGUUAAUAAAUUAGCAACGAAAUAUGUAUGGAAUGAAUUUGGAAGAGGUAGCAUUAAAUUUAUCCCAAAUAAAUACAUUCAUUUUAACUUUCCAUAAAAAAUAAUAACAAGCUUAUAUUUAUGUUGUAUUACGACGAGAAGAAAAUAGGAAAUUCUACGGUUCAUAUUCAGCGACACGAACUUCCAGAACAACUGAUAAUACAAUGUUAACAAUAAGUAAAAUUAAAGCUACUUUAUAUUCAUAAGUUCGAAGUCUCUAUAAUGUCAGAACGGUUAUCCAUGGUCUUGUAAGAAUUAGGUUACUCGCAGUCAGAGGCAAAUGGAUUAAAUGUGAAUAAUGAAUGGGUUUUACAGCGAUUUACAGUAAAUUGAAACAAGUUUAAUAUUACGGAUAGCAUUAUUUAUGUCCACGAUAAUCUACAUCGUUAUCCGUUGAAAUGCCUUUGGGUACUAAUUGAUUUGGAUAUUAAUUUAAAGCUUUGACGUGACCAAUGGCUGCAGCACCGUGGCAAAUGCAAUAAAUCAAUUAUUGAACAAAUUUUUGUCGUAAUCAUUUAUACGAUAUUACUUCUCUAGUUGUAAAUUAAACACCAGUUUCCAUUUUUAAUUUUACUUUCCAGAAAUGUUUCCUCUUUUCAAGUAGA